rfam:Hespellia stercorisuis DSM 15480 genome assembly, contig: EJ65DRAFT_scaffold00024.24
UUACCGGUGCAAAUCCGGUCACGGUAAUUGCCAGUGAGCCGUGUAGCCAAACUCGGUGCGUUGUAGUAAUGCAGGGUGCUAAGCGAGUGUAUGCUUACGGACAAUCAAGA